rnacentral:lncRNA from 1 species
AUGGCCAGAGAAAUCAAGCUCCAGCGUUUCCUCGUUCCCCUACUUGUUCUGAGCUUCGUUUUGCUAGCUGCUGCCAUAGAAGCCCGUCCUCUUUCACAUCAUUAUAAGAAUCAUCACCACCACGGCCACCAGCUCCACCACAACCCGAGGGAGGCCGGUCCGAGCCCGGGAGGGGUUGGCCAUUACUUCGGUGAUGUUCUUGCCCUUUGGGGAGUCAAGAAUUCUGGUCCAAGCCCCGGUGAAGGCCACUAA